rnacentral:rRNA from 1 species
AAUUUUGGACAAUGGGCGCAAGCCUGAUCCAGCCAUUCCGCGUGAGUGAAGAAGGCCUUCGGGUUGUAAAGCUCUUUCGGCAGGAACGAAACGGUGCAGGCCAAUACCCUGUAUCAAUGACGGUACCUGAAGAAGAAGCACCGGCUAACUACGUGCCAGCAGCCGCGGUAAUACGUAGGGUGCGAGCGUUAAUCGGAAUUACUGGGCGUAAAGCGUGCGCAGGCGGCUUUGUAAGACAGGUGUGAAAUCCCCGGGCUUAACCUGGGAACUGCGCUUGUGACUGCAAGGCUUGAGUGCGGCAGAGGGGGGUGGAAUUCCACGUGUAGCAGUGAAAUGCGUAGAGAUGUGGAGGAACACCGAUGGCGAAGGCAGCCCCCUGGGUCGACACUGACGCUCAUGCACGAAAGCGUGGGUAGCAA